UGUGAGGUCUGUGAGAAAUGUUUGGAUAAGAUCUUUUGGUGCUGUUCCCAGAACAUAGUUCAUGUGAUAUCAAAGAAUCCUGAUGUUUUGCCAGGGAACUUUUUGUCAUUGGGAAUUUGGAGGCUGGGUUUGUAAAGGAUUGGAUAAGCUGCAAUACAAAGGCAACUCCUGAGCAACCUAUUCUGGCAGGCCGUCUUCUGUCAAAGGCCACCUGUACCAGCAGACUCCACCCAAAAGAAGAAUGGAGCAAAGGAGAGACAGUUUCCAUUAUGAUCUGGUAUGAGGAAGGUCUCAAACAGGUUUAAAAAUGGCUGAAAAAUGAGCCAGAUUUGUACUGCUAACAAUUAUAUAUGAUGGCAGAAGAAUUGGGUUUGGAGUCAUGAUGGAAAAUGAGUAAACUCCCAAAUGUGUUCCUCUUUUGUUAUUACAUGAAUGGUACAAUCAACAAUCAUCAAGUCCUUCUACCGAAUCUCUUGCUCAGAAAGGAAAAAUGAGGAAGCUGGCUAAUGCU